rnacentral:rRNA from 1 species
UACGGGGGGGGGCAAGCGUUGUUCGGAAUUACUGGGCGUAAAGGGCUCGUAGGCGGCCAACUAAGUCAGACGUGAAAUCCCCAGCUUAACCUGGGAACUGCGUCUGAUACUGGAUGGCUUGAAUUCGGGAGAGGGAUGCAGAAUUCCAGGUGUAGCGGUGAAAUUCGUAGAUAUCGGGAGGAACACCAGUGGCGAAGGCGGCGAUCUGGGUCGAUACUGACGCUGAGGUGCGAAAGCGUGGGGAGCAAACAGG